rnacentral:rRNA from 1 species
AGUAAUGCGUGACCAACCUGCCCCAUGCUCCAGAAUAGCUCUUGGAAACGGGUGGUAAUGCUGGAUGCUCCAACUUGACGCAUGUCUUGUUGGGAAAGUGUUUAGUGGCAUGGGAUGGGGUCGCGUCCUAUCAGCUUGUAGGCGGGGUAAUGGCCCACCUAGGCUUCGACGGGUAGCCGGCCUGAGAGGGCGGACGGCCACAUUGGGACUGAGAUACGGCCCAGACUCCUAGGGAGGCAGCAGCU